CUCCCUCUGGCGGGACAGAUGCUGAAACUGGAACCACACAGAGGAGGUCAGCAUGGCCCCUGUCUGAGGAUGACAUGCGAUUCUGCGAAGGCUUCCAUAUUUUA